UUAAGAGAGUCAUAAUGGUUAUGGAAUUGGCUUGAAACCAGUUUUAGGGGGUUCAAAUCCUUCCUUUCUUGUU
rnacentral:tRNA from 1 species